rnacentral:rRNA from 1 species
AGUCCGACGAUACAGGGUGAUAGUCCCGUAGUUGACGACGUGUGUUCAGUGAAAUCGAGUAGGGCGGGACACGUGAUAUCCUGUCUGAAUAUGGGGGGACCAUCCUCCAAGGCUAAAUACUACUGACUGACCGAUAGUGAACCAGUACCGUGAGGGAAAGGCGAAAAGAACCCCUGUGAGGGGAGUGAAAUAGAACCUGAAACCGUGUACGUACAAGCAGUAGGAGCAGGCUUUGUCCUGUGACUGCGUACCUUUUGUAUAAUGGGUCAGCGACUUAUAUUCAGUGGCAAGGUUAACCAUCUAGGGGAGCCGUAGGGAAACCGAGUCUUAACUGGGCGUUCAGUCUCUGGAUAUAGACCCGAAACCAGGUGAUCUAGCCAUGGGCAGGUUGAAGGUUGAGUAACAUCAACUGGAGGACCGAACCGACUAAUGUUGAAAAAUUAGCGGAUGACUUGUGGCUAGGGGUGAAAGGCCAAUCAAACCUGGAGAUAGCUGGUUCUCCCCGAAAGCUAUUUAGGUAGCGCCUCGGACGAAUACUACUGGGGGUAGAGCACUGUUAAGGCUAGGGGGUCAUCCCGACUUACCAACCCUUUGCAAACUCCGAAUACCAGUAAGUACUAUCCGGGAGACACACGGCGGGUGCUAACGUCCGUCGUGGAGAGGGAAACAACCCAGACCGCCAGCUAAGGUCCCAAAUUACUACUAAGUGGGAAACGAUGUGGGAAGGCUCAGACAGCCAGGAUGUUGGCUUAGAAGCAGCCAUCAUUUAAAGAAAGCGUAAUAGCUCACUGGUCGAGUCGGCCUGCGCGGAAGAUGUAACGGGGCUAAGUAGUAAACCGAAGCUGCGGCAAUGUGCUUUUGCACAUUGGGUAGGGGAGCGUUCUGUAAGCGGUUGAAGGUGUGUGGUAACGCAUGCUGGACGUAUCAGAAGUGCGAAUGCUGACAUGAGUAACGAUAAAGGGGGUGAAAAACCUCCUCGCCGGAAGACCAAGGGUUCCUGUCCAACGUUAAUCGGGGCAGGGUAAGUCGACCCCUAAGGCGAGGCCGAAAGGCGUAGUCGAUGGGAAACGGGUUAAUAUUCCCGUACUUCUUACAAUUGCGAUGGGGGGACGGAGAAGGCUAGGUGGGCCUGGCGACGGUUGUCCAGGUUCAAGUGCGUAGGCUUAAGAGUUAGGUAAAUCCGGCUCUUUUUAAGGCUGAGACACGACGUCGAGCACCUACGGGUGUGAAGUCAUUGAUGCCAUGCUUCCAGGAAAAGCCUCUAAGCUUCAGAUUGUAAGGAAUCGUACCCCAAACCGACACAGGUGGUCGGGUAGAGAAUACCAAGGCGCUUGAGAGAACUCGGGUGAAGGAACUAGGCAAAAUGGUACCGUAACUUCGGGAGAAGGUACGCUCUUGAUGGUGAAGUCCCUCGCGGAUGGAGCUGACGAGAGUCGCAGAUACCAGGUGGCUGCAACUGUUUAUUAAAAACACAGCACUGUGCAAAAUCGUAAGAUGACGUAUACGGUGUGACGCCUGCCCGGUGCCGGAAGGUUAAUUGAUGGGGUUAGACUUCGGUCGAAGCUCUUGAUCGAAGCCCCGGUAAACGGCGGCCGUAACUAUAACGGUCCUAAGGUAGCGAAAUUCCUUGUCGGGUAAGUUCCGACCUGCACGAAUGGCGUAAUGAUGGCCACGCUGUCUCCACCCGAGACUCAGUGAAAUUGAAAUCGCUGUGAAGAUGCAGUGUACCCGCGGCUAGACGGAAAGACCCCGUGAACCUUUACUACAGCUUGGCACUGAACAUUGACCCUACAUGUGUAGGAUAGGUGGGAGGCUUUGAAGCACGUACGCCAGUAUGUGUGGAGCCGUCCUUGAAAUACCACCCUUGUAGUGUUGAUGUUCUAACGUCGACCCCUUAUCGGGGUUGCGGACAGUGCCUGGUGGGUAGUUUGACUGGGGCGGUCUCCUCCCAAAGAGUAACGGAGGAGCACGAAGGUGGGCUAAUCACGGUUGGACAUCGUGAGGUUAGUGCAAUGGCAUAAGCCCGCUUGACUGCGAGAAUGACAAUUCGAGCAGGUGCGAAAGCAGGUCAUAGUGAUCCGGUGGUUCUGAAUGGAAGGGCCAUCGCUCAACGGAUAAAAGGUACUCCGGGGAUAACAGGCUGAUACCGCCCAAGAGUUCAUAUCGACGGCGGUGUUUGGCACCUCGAUGUCGGCUCAUCACAUCCUGGGGCUGAAGUCGGUCCCAAGGGUAUGGCUGUUCGCCAUUUAAAGUGGUACGCGAGCUGGGUUUAGAACGUCGUGAGACAGUUCGGUCCCUAUCUGCCGUGGGCGUUGGAAGAUUGAAGGGGGCUGCUCCUAGUACGAGAGGACCGGAGUGGACGAACCUCUGGUGUUCGGGUUGUGUCGCCAGACGCAUUGCCCGGUAGCUAAGUUCGGAAUCGAUAACCGCUGAAAGCAUCUAAGCGGGAAGCGAGCCCUGAGAUGAGUCUUCCCUGAUACUUUAAGUAUCCUAAAGGGUUGUCGGAGACUACGACGUUGAUAGGUCAGGUGUGUAAGUGCUGUGAGGCAUUGAGCUAACUGAUACUAAUUGCCCGUGAGGCUUAACCAU